rnacentral:rRNA from 1 species
GACGAACGCUGGCGGCGUGCUUAACACAUGCAAGUCGAACGGAAAGGCCCUGCUUUUGUGGGGUGCUCGAGUGGCGAACGGGUGAGUAACAAGUGAGUAACCUGCCCUUGACUUUGGGAUAACUUCAGGAAACUGGGGCUAAUACCGGAUAGGAGCUCCUGCUGCAUGGUGGGGGUUGGAAAGUUUCGGCGGUUGGGGAUGGACUCGCGGCUUAUCAGCUUGUUGGUGGGGUAGUGGCUUACCAAGGCUUUGACGGGUAGCCGGCCUGAGAGGGUGACCGGCCACAUUGGGACGGAGAUACGGCCCAGACUCCUACGGGAGGCAGCAGUGGGGAAUAUUGCACAAUGGGCGGAGGCCUGAUGCAGCAACGCCGCGUGCGGGAUAACGGCCUUCGGGUUGUAAACCGCUUUCGCCUGUGACGAAGCGUGGGUGACGGUAAUGGGUAAAGAAGCACCGGCUAACUACGUG